GAGGGGUAUAGGUUUUCGGACCUAGAGACCGGCGCACGGGUGCGUAACGCGUAUGUAAUCUACCUUUUACAGAGGGAUAGCCCAGAGAAAUUUGGAUUAAUACCUCAUAGUAUAAUGACUCGGCAUCGAGAUAUUAUUAAAGUUCCAACGGUAAAAGAUGAGCAUGCGUCCCAUUAGCUAGAUGGUAAGGUAACGGCUUACCAUGGCGACGAUGGGUAGGGGUCCUGAGAGGGAGAUCCCCCACACUGGUACUGAGACACGGACCAGACUCCUACGGGAGGCAGCAGUGAGGAAUAUUGGUCAAUGGGCGCAAGCCUGAACCAGCCAUGCCGCGUGCAGGAUGACGGUCCUAUGGAUUGUAAACUGCUUUUGUACAGGAAGAAACACUGGUUCGUGAACCAGCUUGACGGUACUGNUAGAAUAAGGAUCGGCUAACUCCGUG
rnacentral:rRNA from 1 species